GCAUGGCCUUGUGUGCUGGUAACUGCUUGCCGGGGAGGCUUUGAAGGACCAGAAUGCUAUCAGCCUCUUAGAAUUCACACAGAUGAGAGAUAUUAGUUUGUGUCUACGAAGAGUAUAUUCCACCUGGGAUAGUCCUGGUGUCACCUCCCCUGGUCUGAGGAGGUGUGGUGCUGUGGGAACUACCAAGAGGGCUUAGAUGACAUUCAUCCUCAACAUCAUUACCAUCCAACUGGAGAAGCUUGUGCUCUCUGAAAUGAUGAAGUACCACAGGUGCCCAUCUGUGUAGUGCAGAUGUGGUACGAUGGGAGAUCAGCAAAAGAAGAAGCCAAUGUUGGAGCACAUUGUUUUUAAUUUGGAAAAGUAAUAAAUAAUAGGGAUAUAUGUAUAUGUAUAGCUGAUUCACUUUGUUAUAGAGCAGAAACUAACACACCAUUG